GACAAGAGGCCUCGAGCGUUAGGCGGAAUCACUGGGCUUAAAGCGUGUGUAGGCGGGCCCGUAAGUGUCUUGUGAAAUCCCACGGCUCAACCGUGGAACUGCUGGGCAUACUGCGGGUCUGGGCCAACUAGGGGCAGCCGGAACAAGCGGUGGAGCGGUGAAAUGCGUAGAUAUCGCUUGGAACGCCGAAGGUGAAAACAGGCUGCUGGGGUUGC
rnacentral:rRNA from 1 species